GCUUGCCGGGCUGGAUUAGUGGCGAACGGGUGAGUAACACGUGAGUAACCUGCCCCUGACUUCGGGAUAACCGCGAGAAAUCGUGGCUAAUACCGGAUAUGACGCUCCUCCGCAUGGUGGGGUGUGGAAAGAUUUAUCGGUUGGGGAUGGGCUCGCGGCCUAUCAGCUUGUUGGUGGGGUGAUGGCCUACCAAGGCGACGACGGGUAGCCGGCCUGAGAGGGUGACCGGCCACACUGGGACUGAGACACGGCCCAGACUCCUACGGGAGGCAGCAGUGGGGAAUAUUGCACAAUGGGCGCAAGCCUGAUGCAGCGACGCCGCGUGAGGGAUGACGGCCUUCGGGUUGUAAACCUCUUUCAGUAGGGAAGAAGCUCUUCGGGGUGACGGUACCUGCAGAAGAAGCGCCGGCUAACUACGUGCCAGCAGCCGCGGUAAUACGUAGGGCGCAAGCGUUGUCCGGAAUUAUUGGGCGUAAAGAGCUCGUAGGCGGUUUGUCGCGUCUGCUGUGAAAACGCGAGGCUCAACCUCGCGCCUGCAGUGGGUACGGGCAGACUAGAGUGCGGUAGGGGAGACUGGAAUUCCUGGUGUAGCGGUGGAAUGCGCAGAUAUCAGGAGGAACACCGGUGGCGAAGGCGGGUCUCUGGGCCGUUACUGACGCUGAGGAGCGAAAGCAUGGGGAGCGAACAGGAUUAGAUACCCUGGUAGUCCAUGCCGUAAACGUUGGGCACUAGGUGUGGGACCCAUUCCACGGGUUCCGUGCCGCAGCUAACGCAUUAAGUGCCCCGCCUGGGGAGUACGGCCGCAAGGCUAAAACUCAAAGGAAUUGACGGGGGCCCGCACAAGCGGCGGAGCAUGCGGAUUAAUUCGAAUGCAACGCGAAGAACCUUACCAAGGCUUGACAUACACCGGAAACAUCCAGAGAUGGGUGCCCCGCAAGGUCGGUGUACAGGUGGUGCAUGGUUGUCGUCAGCUCGUGUCGUGAGAUGUUGGGUUAAGUCCCGCAACGAGCGCAACCCUUGUCCUGUGUUGCCAGCGGGUUAUGCCGGGGACUCAUGGGAGACUGCCGGGGUCAACUCGGAGGAAGGUGGGGAUGACGUCAAAUCAUCAUGCCCCUUAUGUCUUGGGCUUCACGCAUGCUACAAUGGCCGGUACAAAGGGUUGCGAUGCCGCGAGGUGGAGCGAAUCCCAAAAAGCCGGUCUCAGUUCGGAUUGGGGUCUGCAACUCGACCCCAUGAAGUCGGAGUCGCUAGUAAUCGCAGAUCAGCAACGCUGCGGUGAAUACGUUCUCGGGCCUUGUACACACCGCCCGUCACGUCACGAAAGUCGGUAACACCCGAAGCCGGUGGC
rnacentral:rRNA from 1 species